rnacentral:rRNA from 1 species
GACGGGUGAGUAACACGUAGGCAACCUACCCUCAGGAGGGGGACAACAUCGGGAAACCGGUGCUAAUACCGCGUAAGACCACGAGUUGGAAUACUGGUGGUAAAAGGAGCAAUCCACCUGGGGAUGGGCCUGCGGCCUAUCAGGUAGUUGGUGGGGUAACGGCCUACCAAGCCGAUGACGGGUAGCCGGUCUGAGAGGACGAACGGCCACACUGGAACUGCGACACGGUCCAGACUCCUACGGGAGGCAGCAGUGGGGAAUUUUGCACAAUGGGCGAAAGCCUGAUGCAGCGACGCCGCGUGGAGGAUGAAGGCCUUCGGGUUGUAAACUCCUUUUCUCAGGGAAGAUAAUGACGGUACCUGAGGAAUAAGCCACGGCUAACUCUGUGCCAGCAGCCGCGGUAAGACAGAGGUGGCAAGCGUUGUUCGGAAUUACUGGGCUUAAAGGGCGCGUAUGCGGUGGGGUAAGUCUGAAGUGGAAUUCCGCAGCUUAACUGCG